GCCUGAUCCAGCCAUGCCGCGUGUGUUAAGAAGGUCUUCGGAUUGUAAAGCACUUUAAGUUUGGAGGAAGGGUUGUAGAUUAAUACUCUGCAAUUUUGACGUUACCGCCAGAAUAAGCACCGGCUAACUCUGUGCCAGCAGCCGCGGUAAUA
rnacentral:rRNA from 1 species